rnacentral:rRNA from 1 species
CCCUUAGAUGUCCUGGGCCGCACGCGCGUUACACUGAUGCAUUCAACGAGCUUAUAACCUUGGCCGAGAGGCCUGGGCAAUCUUGUUAACGUGCAUCGUGAUAGGGAUAGAUUAUUGAAAUUAUUAAUCUUGAACGAGGAAUUCCUAGUAAACGCAGAUCAUCAAUCUGCAUUGAUUACGUCCCUGCCCUUUGUACACACCGCCCGUCGCACCUACCGAUUGGAUGGUCCGGUGAAGCCUCGGGAUUGUGGUUCUUGCCGCUUUGUUGUGGCGUGACCGUGAGAACUUGUCUAAACCUUAUCAUCUAGAGGAAGGUGAAGUCGUAACA